GACAUUCAUCCCUCCCUCUGGAGUUGUGUUUUGGACCCUUCCACUUUGAGGUGCUGCCAGCGUGGUGUGGUCGUUGUGACGCCUGAGCGUACAGGUCCUGCCUCCAUCUCAGGUCCAGCCAGACACACCUGCUGGCCCAAGCCUCAGAAUACCAAGAAGUGCCGUUGCGGAGGUGGCACUGGAGGAGGAGGAGGUGGUGGAGUGGGAGGAGGUGGUUCACUGCCGUCCCGUCUGGGCUUCAGGCAGAACACCUCCACAGAGUUCCAACCAGAUGCCAUGUUGUCCCCCGGGAAGGGCCACAGGGGAGAGGGGACCCCCAGGGCCGAGAGGAGAGAGGGGACUUCCAGGUAGACUAAAGAAUAUACAUUGUGUUUAUUUCAGUAUAGGUUGACUAAAAGUAUACAUAGUACUGUAGUGGCUUGUGACCAUUACUGUAGGUUGUGUGUGGUGUGCUUGCAGUUAUAUUGUCUUCAUGGUGUGUACUCCUAAAUAUCUCCUCAUAUCCCCAUCCCUCAUACCUUUGCUCUUCCCCUCCUUCCCCCUGUUUUCUUUCAGGUGUACCUGGAGUGACAGGGGAUGUUGGACUCAUGAGACCUCCUGGACUGGAUGGAAUGGCUGGAGCUACUGGACUGGAAGGAGAUAAAGGUAAGCUUGUCAAUUCUCAUGUACAACUUUUAAAGGAGGUAAUCUGGGUUUAUACAUUUACAGUCCAAAGUGUGAGCUGCUAUGCUAUCUGUUA
rnacentral:lncRNA from 13 species